GGAGGCUGAGGUGGGAGAAUCACCUGAGCCCAGGACUUCAAGGCGGCAGUGGGCCCUGUUUGUGCCACUGCACUCCAGCCUCUGGAAAAUACUCCAGAGGCAUUUUCCAUUUUACAUCUGCCAUGCAGAAAAGGGGGUGCCAUGCAGAGAGUGGCCUCUGGUCCUUUUGUUACUUGAGCAUGUAAAGUUGGCAUUUUCCUUUUGACUUAGUUUUAGGAAGUCGGUGGGAAUUGGCAGCAGAGUGAGACUCUGUUUCAAAAAAAAAAAAAGAAUGUGACAUUAUUUAGAAAUAUGGUCAUUGAUAUAAUUAGUUAAGACGGGGCAAUGGGGCCGUAUGAGAUUAGAAUGGACCCUAAAUGCUAUAAUUGGUGUCCUUAUAAGAAGGUUGUGUGGUGAGAGUGGAGCGAUGCGUCCACAACCCAAGGAACUUCAAAUCUUGGUGUUACCAGUGAAGGGUGUCCAGGUUCCUGGCAUCUUGAACAAAGAAUUGGGCAAAACGCACAUACAAAGCAAGGAAAGAAUGAAG